UCUGAACCAGCCAUGCCGCGUGCAGGAUGACUGUCCUAUGGAUUGUAAACUGCUUUUCUGCAAGAAGAAAGUUCGCUACGUGUAGUGAUUUGACGGUAUUGCAGGAAUAAGCAUCGGCUAACUCCGUGCCAGCAGCCGCGGUAAUACGGAGGAUGCAAGCGUUAUCCGGAUUUAUUGGGUUUAAAGGGUGUGUAGGCGGUAAGGUAAGUCAAAGGUGAAAGUCUGCAGCUUAACUGUAGAAGUGCCCUUGAUACUGUCUUACUUGAGUUUAGUUGAGGUUGGCGGAAUGUGUAAUGUAGCGGUGAAAUGCAUAGAUAUUACACAGAACACCGAUUGCGAAGGCAGCUGACCAAGCUAACACUGACGCUGAGGCACGAAAGCGUGGGGAGCGAACAGGAUUAGAUACCCUGGUAGUCCACGCUGUAAACUUUGAUCACUCGUUGUAGGCGAUACACAGUCUGUGACUGAGCGAAAGCAUUAAGUGAUCCACCUGGGGAGUACGAUCGCAAGGUUGAAACUCAAAGGAAUUGACGGGGGCCCGCACAAGCGGAGGAACAUGUGGUUUAAUUCGAUGAUACGCGAGGAACCUUACCUGGGCUUAAAUGUAGAUUGCAUUUCUGAGAAAUCAGAAUUUCCUUCGGGACCAUUUACAAGGUGCUGCAUGGUUGUCGUCAGCUCGUGCCGUGAGGUAUCGGGUUAAGUCCCAUAACGAGCGCAACCCCUAUUGUUAGUUGCCAUCAGUUCGGCUGGGGACUCUAACAAAACUGCCCGUGUAAGCGGGAGGAAGGUGGGGAUGACGUCAAAUCAGCACGGCCCUUACGUCCAGGGCUACACACGUGUUACAAUGGCAGGUACAAAGGGCAGCUACACAGUAAUGUGAUGCUAAUCUCAAAAGCCUGUCUUAGUUCGGAUUGGAGUCUGCAAUUCGACUUCAUGAAGCAGGAUUCGCUAGUAAUCGCACAUCAGCCAUGGUGCGGUGAAUACGUUCCCGGGCCUUGUACACACUGCCCGUCAAGCCAUGGAAGUCGGUAGUAUCUGAAGACUGUAACCGCGAG
rnacentral:rRNA from 1 species